rnacentral:rRNA from 1 species
ACUUUCUCGGGCCUACAAACCCCAGAGCGGCCAUUGGAAACUGGGGAGCUUGAGUGCAGAAAAGGAAAGUAGGAAUUCCACGUGUAGCGGUGAAAUGCGUAGAUAUGUGGAGGAACACCAGUGGCGAAGGCGACUCUCUGGUCUGUAACUGACGCUGAGGCGCGAAAGCGUGGGGAGCAAACAGGAUUAGAUACCCUGGUAGUCCACGCCGUAAACGAUGAGUGCUAGGUGUUAGGGGUUUCGAUGCCCGUAGUGCCGAAGUAAACACAUUAAGCACUCCGCCUGGGGAGUACGGCCGCAAGGCUGAAACUUAAAGGAAUUGACGGGGACCCGCACAAGCAGUGGAGCAUGUGGUUUAAUUCGAAGCAACGCGAAGAACCUUACCAGGUCUUGACAUCCUUUGACCACUCUGGAGACAGAGCUUCCCCUUCGGGGGCAAAGUGACAGGUGGUGCAUGGUUGUCGUCAGCUCGUGUCGUGAGAUGUUGGGUUAAGUCCCGCAACGAGCGCAACCCUUGAUCUUAGUUGCCAGCAUUUAGUUGGGCACUCUAAGGUGACUGCCGGUGACAAACCGGAGGAAGGUGGGGGACGACGUCAAAUCAUCAUGCCCCUUAUGACCUGGGCUACACGCGUGCUACAAUGGAUGGUACAAAGGGCAGCGAAGCCGUGAGGUGGAGCCAAUCCCAUAAAGCCAUCGCUCAGUUCGGAUUGCAGGCUGCAACUCGCCUGCAUGAAGCCGGGAUUUGCUAGUAAUCGCGGAUCAGCAUGCCGCGGUGAAUACGUUCCCCGGGUCUUGUACACACCCGCCCGUCCACACCACGAGAGUUUGUAACAGCCCGAAGUCGUGAGGU